rnacentral:tRNA from 1 species
GCGCGUGUGGCGGAAUUGGCAGACGCACUAGACUUAGGAUCUAGCGUCGAAACCGUGGAGGUUCGAGUCCUCUCACCGGCA